UACGUAGGGUGCGAGCGUUAAUCGGAAUUACUGGGCGUAAAGCGUGCGCAGGCGGUUUUGUAAGCCAGAUGUGAAAUCCCCGGGCUUAACCUGGGAACUGCAGUCGAUACUGAUGGACUAGAGUACGGUAGAGGGUGGCGGAACUCCGGGUGUAGCGGUGAAAUGCGUAGAUAUCCGGAAGAACACCGAUGGCGAAGGCAACCACCUGGGCCUGUACUGACGCUGAGGUACGAAAGCGUGGGGAGCAAACAGG
rnacentral:rRNA from 1 species